rnacentral:rRNA from 1 species
UACGGAGGAGGCAAGCGUUAUCCGGAAUUAUUGGGCGUAAAGCGUCCGCAGGUGGCUUGCUCAAGUCUGCUGUCAAAGACCGGGGCUUAACUCCGGAAAGGCAGUGGAAACUGACAAGCUAGAGGGCUCUAGGGGUAGAGGGAAUUCCCGGUGUAGCGGUGAAAUGCGUAGAGAUCGGGAAGAACAUCGGUGGCGAAAGCGCUCUACUGGAGAGCAACUGACACUCAGGGACGAAAGCUAGGGGAGCGAA